UGGGGAAUAUUGCACAAUGGGCGAAAGCCUGAUGCAGCGACGCCGCGUGAGGGAUGACGGCCUUCGGGUUGUAAACCUCUUUCAGCAGGGAAGAAGCGAAAGUGACGGUACCUGCAGAAGAAGCGCCGGCUAACUACGUGCCAGCAGCCGCGGUAAUACGUAGGGCGCAAGCGUUGUCCGGAAUUAUUGGGCGUAAAGAGCUCGUAGGCGGUUAGUCGCGUCUGCUGUGAAAACUCGAGGCUCAACCUCGGGCUUGCAGUGGGUACGGGCUGACUAGAGUGCGGUAGGGGUGACUGGAAUUCCUGGUGUAGCGGUGGAAUGCGCAGAUAUCAGGAGGAACACCGAUGGCGAAGGCAGGUCACUGGGCCGCAACUGACGCUGAGGAGCGAAAGCAUGGGGAGCGAACAGGAUUAGAUACCCUGGUAGUCCAUGCCGUAAACGUUGGGCACUAGGUGUGGGUCCAUUCCACGGAUUCCGUGCCGCAGCAAGCGCAUUAAGUGCCCCGCCUGGGGAGUACGGCCGCAAGGCUAAACUC
rnacentral:rRNA from 1 species